rnacentral:rRNA from 1 species
CAGGGAAUCUUGCGCAAUGGGCGAAAGCCUGACGCAGCGACGCCGCGUGCGGGAAGAAGGCCUUCGGGUUGUAAACCGCUUUUCUGAGGGAAGAGAAAGGACGGUACCUCAGGAAUAAGCCUCGGCUAACUACGUG